rnacentral:rRNA from 1 species
UACGUAGGUGGCAAGCGUUGUCCGGAAUUAUUGGGCGUAAAGCGCGCGCAGGCGGUCCUUUAAGUCUGAUGUGAAAGCCCCCGGCUCAACCGGGGAGGGUCAUUGGAAACUGGGAAACUUGAGUGCAGGAGAGAAGAGCGGAAUUCCACGUGUAGCGGUGAAAUGCGUAGAGAUGUGGAGGAACACCGGUGGCGAAGGCGGCAUCCUGGACCGGCAUUGACGCUGAGUGAGCGAAAGCCAGGGGAGCAAACGGG